rfam:Xenorhabdus cabanillasii JM26, WGS project CBXE01000000 data, contig: XENCA_2134_Contig_108
UUUCUAAGAUGUUGAAUAUCUUAGGGAGCCAGUGCAAACGCAACAGUUUUGUCGGGCCUAUCUGACGUGUAAUCAGGUAGCCUCACAGGUCUGUUGCGUGUGCUUUUAUUUGACGGAUUCUAACUGAAUUGGUAGCACAUGAACCCCAUAAUAAUGAACAUGUUACAGCGCAAGCUGGGAUAUACCUUUACAC